CAGCCGCCACGGUAACACGGAGGGCGCAAGCGUUAAUCGGAAUUACUGGGCGUAAAGCGCACGCAGGCGGUUUGUUAAGUCAGAUGCGAAAUCCCCGAGCUUAACUUGGAAACUGCAUUUGAAACUGGCAAGCUAGAGUCUUGUAGAGGGGGGUAGAAUUCCAGGUGUAGCGGUGAAAUGCGUAGAGAUCUGGAGGAAUACCGGUGGCGAAGGCGGCCCCCUGGACAAAGACUGACGCUCAUGCACGAAAGCGUGGGGAGCGAACAGGAUUAGAUACCCGCGUAGUCCCUGUCUCUUAUAC
rnacentral:rRNA from 1 species